rnacentral:lncRNA from 1 species
CAGAAAUGUCCCAAAAGUGCAAACCCCACCCUCCUGGUACUCUAGGCAAGCUUAAGCAUAAACUGAAAAUAUUUGAACGAUUUCAAAUGGCAUUUGAACCCAGGUCUGGCUCUGAGCCUAACAGCUAUUAUGGCCAGAUGCCAGUCAUAGUAACAGAGAAUCUGUAGCAUUUGUGAGUCAGUCUCCAGCCACGUUUGACUCUCCGUAAACACAUUGUGAUUUAAGAGCUAAAAUGGCCCACGCUCUCUCUAGCCAGUUGUGUGUGAACUGAGCAAACGUUUGUUGUUCUAUCUAAUAAGCUGUCACAGUGACACACACACGACCAAACACUAUCAUGGUCGACUCAACAGAAGGUUCAUUUUCGGAGUCAAGCAGCAUCGGUAGUAUUAUUGAGAGUUGUGAACACAGAAAAAGUGUUGGAGUUGUAUCUUUCCAGUGAUAGUGACCAUCUUCAUACGAAACCUUCAGGGCUAUGUCCUACACUGUCACACUACCAGCCCACCUCAAGUUUCUUUCUCUCCUUCUGUAGCCACUUUCACAAAGAGACAGGUUGUAGCUCAUCAGGAUGCAUGGCUCAAUUAGGCCUCUUUAGCCCUUCCAUACUGUCCAGUUCUGUGACCCAUCCACAUAUAGGUAACUGCCACAUCCACAUACAGGUAACUGACCCAUCCACAUACAGGUAACUGACCCAUCCCCAUACAGGUAACUGCCACAUCCACAUACAGGUAACUGACCCAUCCACAUACAGGUAACUGACCCAUCCACAUACAGGUAACUGACCCAUCCACAUACAGGUAACUGACCCAUCCACAUACAGGUAACUGACACAUCCACAUACAGGUAACUGACCCAUCCACAUACAGGUAACUGACACAUCCACAUACAGGUAACUGACCCAUCCACAUACAGGUAACUGACUCAUCUCCAUACAGGUAACUGACUCAUCCACAUACAGGUAACUGACACAUCCCCAUACAGGUAACUGACCCAUCCACAUACAGGUAACUGACACAUCCACAUACAGGUAACUGCGACAUCCACAUACAGGUAACUGACACAUCCACAUACAGGUAACUGACCCAUCCACAUACAGGUAACUGACCCAUCCACAUACAGGUAACUGCCAUAUCCACAUACAGGUAACUGCCACAUCCACAUACAGGUAACUGACCCAUCCACAUACAGGUAACUGCCACGUCCACAUACAGGUAACUGACACAUCCAUAUACAGGUAACUGACCCAUCCACAUACAGGUAACUGACCCAUCCACAUACAGGUAACUGCCACAUCCCCAUACAGGUAACUGACCCAUCCACAUACAGGUAACUGACACAUCCACAUACAGGUAACUGACCCAUCCACAUACAGGUAACUGACACAUCCACAUACAGGUAACUGACACAUCCAUAUACAGGUAACUGACCCAUCCACAUACAGGUAACUGACCCAUCCACAUACAGGUAACUGCCACAUCCCCAUACAGGUAACUGACCCAUCCACAUACAGGUAACUGACACAUCCACAUACAGGUAACUGACACAUCCACAUACAGGUAACUGACACAUCCACAUACAGGUAACUGCCAUAUCCACAUACAGGUAACUGCCACAACAAUGGAAACAUAAAGUGUCUUAACAGGGCUUUGGGCCUCAUAUCUCUACAUUCUUACGUCUGGUCCCAGAUCUGUAGCAGCACAAACAGGACUGUGACAAGGCUUUGUAUAUUUGCAUGGGCAGAACAGUGUUUGUUAACAGCAGAGCAAAAGAGGAAGUUAGAGCUAGGCUUUUCUCAUGCCAGUUCAUCUCCAGUGUGUACGUAUCACAUGCCUCUCUUGGGUUGGUUAAUCAGCGGUCGUGUUGUGUUUGCUCUGUUCGGAAUACAAGCGGGGCAAGACUGAUUCGUGAUUCGUUUGGUUUGGAUAGGGAGAUCAGCAUAGACAAAUGGUUCUCUCAGAGGAGACUGUUUAUGGCAAUCAACAGAGUGCAACACACACACGUAUGUUGUGUAGAGGGAAGGAAGGAGCGAACACAUUCUCUUUCGCACGCACGCACACACACACACACACACACACACACACACACACACACACACACACACACACACACACACACACACACACACACACACACACACACACACACACACACACACACACACACACACACAUUAUUGGCCUUGAGUGGUGUUACUUCAGGGACCAACAGAUAAGACUAAGGGCAUGUUUUGGUACCAUGAAUGGUUUUAAGGAUAAACAGUUGAAUGCUGUCCAUCCCAGGGGAGCGUCAUCCUCAGUCAUGCGCCGGCCCGGUUUGUUGUUUUUAAAACAUCUCUGAGGUCAUCUGAGACAUCUGGCUUGUUUUUCCAGCAAACUACUUAGUCCUGGGGCUGUUUUUCCCAUGGUUCCCUUUCCAGGACAUGCAAACACAACAGAUAGUGUCUCCCAUUGAGGCAGUCUCACUGGACCUGCAUGGGAGACAGUGAUUUGCAUGCAUGGAGAAAAACUGUCACUUUGCAAGGCGGCCAUUUUUUAUCAGUGGCCCAGGGUUCAUGCAAAGGUAGGCUUUUUCUUAGCACACCGUUUUUGUGUUA